UGAGAACACAGGGCAGCCAGUCAUUGCUCGGAGGAAUGAAAGCCGACAUGUGAAUAAACAUGAAGCGCUAAGGGCCAUGGUUCAGCAAAAGUUGGAAAGAGAAAAAGCCUGGAGAUUUUCAGAGGAAGAAGACAGAGAGAGACAGCUUCACCAAAGCCAGAUCCCACUUCAACAUGUAGAAAAGAUGUAGAUGGAGGAAGCCCAAAGCAGGAGGAUUCCUGAACUUUGAGAUCUGAGCUGUAAAGAAAGACUGUCUGCCCUGGAUUUUCAUAGGUAUGGAGAACCUAGCUUCAGGAAGGGUCUUUUGUAGGGACUAUGGUAAGAAUUAAAUUUAACAGUUUAA